AGUGAACGCUGGCGGUAGGCCUAACACAUGCAAGUCGAACGGCAGCACAGUAAGAGCUUGCUCUUACGGGUGGCGAGUGGCGGACGGGAGAGGAAUACAUCGGAAUCUACUUUUUCGUGGGGGAUAACGUAGGGAAACCUACGCUAAUACCGCAUACGACCUACGGGUGAAAGCAGGGGAUCUUCGGACCUUGCGCGAUUGAAUGAGCCGAUGUCGGAUUAGCUAGUUGGCGGGGUAAAGGCCCACCAAGGCGACGAUCCGUAGCUCGUCUGAGAGGAUGAUCGGCCGCAUUGGAGCUUGGACACCGUCCAGAGUCCUACGGGAGGCCGCAGUGGGGUAUAUUGGACAAUGGGCGCAAGCCUGGUCCAGCCAUACCGCGUGGGUGAAGAAGGCCUUCGGGUUGUAAAGCCCUUUUGUUGGGAAAGAAAAGCAGCAGGUUAAUACCCCGCUGUUCUGACGGUACCCGAAGAAUAAGCACCGGCUAACUUCGUG
rnacentral:rRNA from 1 species